UGGUUCUGGCAUNGAUGAAGAACGCAGCGAAAUGCGAUAAGUAAUGUGAAUUGCAGAAUUCAGUGAAUCAUCGAAUCUUUGAACGCACAUUGCGCCCCUUGGUAUUCCGAGGGGCAUGCCUGUUCGAGCGUCAUUACAACCCUCAAGCACUGCUUGGUUUUGGGCUUGGUUCUCAUCAGCCGGCCUUAAAAAUAGUGGCGGUGCCGUGCGGCUCUAAGCGUAGUAAAUCUCUCGCUCUAGGGACGUGUGAGCUCUUGCCAUAGACCCAAAUUUUCUAUGGUUGACCUCGGAUCAGGUAGGGAUACCCGCUGA
rnacentral:misc_RNA from 1 species